ACCCAACACACCAGCACGGAUUAAAAAGAAAGCAAAAAAGUCCUUACAAAGCAAUUACCGCUCAUGAAGACCUGAAGGCAGAAACAAGGACGCUCCGAGUUUAGACAGUGGUGAAACAGGAACUGAUAGAAUUCAGGAAAGAAACUGAGAAACGAGACGAAACCCGUUCAGAAAUGAUGACUACCAGGAGACUCCUGUUACCGAGAUUUCUUUCACAGCCAGGUACAAAGCAGCAAUAGUAAACUUGUAUCUAUCUUCAACGGAGGAAAAUCCCCCAAACACCCAUGUUACGUGUGCAGAGCUGCUCGGUGUCUGCGCAGUGAAAGGGACGGGUCCUUCUCCGUGAAGCUGAGAGGUCUACGCCAUGGCUGCCAGGGAAGAGCACUUCCACCCGAUCCUGAGGACUGUCCUGGCAGCACCUGUCAGGAACCACUGACUAAGUGAUGAUAAAGAGCUCAGAGGACACACAGCUUGACCAGGUGUCUACCAGGCACCUUUCUACAACCAAGUAAGUGUCCAACACAGGGGGCGUUCAGACACUGCUGAAGUGUGUGCUGCAUCAGCCAGACAGGUGCUCCGCUCAUGGCCGUGGGGACUGAAGCAGCACUGCUUCAUCAGGUCUGCCCUGAGCUUGUAAGAGGUCGCCAGCAUUGCCAGGGAGAGUCUGGACAUGGAAGCAUCAUUCUUCAGGAGUUCCCGUCUGAUAGAGUAACACUAGCUCCUCUCAGACCAUCAAAUGACGAGGCUCUACAACUUGUGAACUCAACAUAAUUCUGUAUGUAAGAACAUUAUUACGUGGAUUUAUUAACUUGCAAAGGUUUGUAAAUCAUCUCCCCUCACAGCAUGCAGCAGUAUUAAAAGGCAAAGACAUCAGGCUUAAUA